rnacentral:rRNA from 1 species
AGAGCGAACGCUGGCGGCAGGCCUAACACAUGCAAGUCGAGCGGCCGUAGCAAUACGGCAGCGGCAGACGGGAGAGUAACACGUGGGAACGCGCCCCUUCGGUUCGGAAUAACUCAGGGAAACUUGGGCUAAUACCGGAUACGCCCUUACGGGGAAAGAUUUAUUGCCGAAGGAACGGCCCGCGUCCGAUUAGCUUGUUGGUGAGGUAACGGCUCACCAAGGCGACGAUCGGUAGCUGGUCUGAGAGGAUGACCAGCCUCACUGGGACUGAGACACGGCCCAGACUCCUACGGGAGGCAGCAGUGGGGGAAUAUUGGACAAUGGGCGCAAGCCUGAUCCAGCCAUGCCGCGUGGGUGAUGAAGGCCCUAGGGUUGUAAAGCCCUUUCGGCGGGGAAGAGUAAUGACGGUACCCGCAGAAGAAGCCCCGGCUAACUUCGCGCCAGCAGCCGC